AUACGGAGGGGGCAAGCGUUGUUCGGAGUCACUGGGCGUAAAGCGCAUGUAGGUGGAUGUAUAAGUCAGGAGUCAAAGGCGUCGGCUCAACCGGCGUACGGCUUUUGAAACUAUAUGUCUAGAGUGUCGGAGAGGAAUAUGGAAUUCCCGGUGUAGCGGUGAAAUGCGUAGAUAUCAGGAGGAACACCGGUGGCGAAGGCGGCUUGCUGGACAAAUACUGACGCUGAGAUGCGAAAGCGUGGGGAGC
rnacentral:rRNA from 1 species